rnacentral:rRNA from 1 species
AUUUGGCUUUCGACCUGGACGCUGUGUCGAGGACGCCUGGAAGCACGUGAUGACCAGCGUUGCCGCCAGCCAGGCGGUAUACGUACUUGGUCUCUUCGUGGACUUUAAAGGCGCGUUUGACAACAUUGAGUGGAGCGCCGCGACGCGCCGCUUGAUCGAUGCGGGAUGCGAGAAAGCUAGCUUGUGGAGAAGCUUCUUCUGUGGCAGGAAAGCCAGGAUGACCAGCAGAUGUGGCGAAGUCGAGGUGGAGGUCAGCGAGGGUGUCCCCAGGAAUCCAUCAGUGGGCCGUUCAUCUGGAACACCAUGAUGGAUUUCCUGCUCCAACGCCUGAAGCCCUUGUGCACAUUUAGUGCAUAUGCCGAUGACCUGCUGGUUCUAGUCGAGGGAAGAUCGAGAGCUGAACUGGAGCGUCGAGCAGCUGAGCUACUGUCCGUCGUGGGAGCUUGAUGAGCCGAGGUCGGAGUGUCGAUCUCAACCAGUAAGACGGCAAUGAUGAUGUUGAAGGAGCGUUUUGCCGUUUCCAGGCCGCCCGUGGUACGGUUUGCAGGAGCAAGCCUACCAUAUGUCGACAAGUACCGGUACCUUGGCAUCACAGUCGGUGAACGGUUGAAUUUUCAGCCGCAUAUCGCAGGAUUGCGGGAUAAACUGACUGGAGUCGUCGGAGCAUUAGGCCGCGUGCUACGGGUUGACUGGGGCCUCAGUCCCUUAGCCAGACGCACUGUAUAUGCCGGACUCAUGGUGCCUUGCGCACUGUUUGGUGCCUCGGUAUGGUAUUCCGUGGUCAGGGGAGAGUCGGGGGCCAGGAGGCGCCUCAUCUUCUGCCAAAGAGUCAUGCUCUUAGGAUGCCUACCGGUAUGCCGUACAGUGUCCACCGUGGCACUGCAGGUGCUUGCUGGAGCUCCGCCGUUGGAUUUGGUUGCCAAGCAAUUGGCAAUCAGAUUCAAGGUCAAGCGUGCCCACCCGUUGGAGGAUAGUGACUGGCUGUUCGGUCUAGAUGUGGCAAAUCUAGACCAGAGGCGGAUGAAGGCGUUGCUGGACGAGGGCAUGUGCUCCGAGUGGCAACGGAGAUGAGAUAGUGAUGAGCAUGGUCGACCGUUUAUCAUCAGUUUAUCCCGGACGCAUGGAUUCUUGCUGACGGCCCACGGGUCACUAAAUGCAUUUCUGCAUCAGAGAAGUUUGAAUGCAACGCCCGCAUGUCAAUGCGUGAAGUGCAACCACACAGGGCCGACCAGUGCCGGGCUGACGUUAGUCAAAACUGGGAGUGUCAUGGACCGUGUCACGAAGCCGAACAGAGCUUAAUAUUGUAGACAAAUCCCAAUUUGGGGUGAGUCGAACAUUGGAUGACCCAUUCCGUGUUUGUCGUCAACAAAACUGGGAAGUGGCAAUUGCUACGAACUGCCGACCAAAGCUGUAAUUUGGUACUACGGGUAACCGGGAGCCCAUGGAACUCGUUCCGUCCUGGUUAGUUGGUGUGGCUCUUCGGGGAGUAUCGUGGUGGCUGUGGUUCGAUACCCAAUUGUGGUUCGAUACCCAACCGGGUGCUGUACCCAAAGACUAGCGGAGGUAUAGAUAGACCUCACCUCCCAAGGGGGAAUGUCAUGUUCAAUAAGCAUGCAUUCAAUUUGGUACCGAAGGGGCACUCACAUACAGUGUCUUGGAGGGGCGCAAGUCCGACGCUUUGUUUCGGCUCGCUGUAUUUCGAAUACCGUGGUACUAAACCCCUACGGGGUACACGCCACGUUAAACAAAUAUGUUUUGUUACGUCCCUAUCUACGAUCUAGCGAAACCACAGCCAAGGGAACGGGUUUGGAAUAAUUAGCGGGGAAAGAAGACCAUUUUGAUGUUGACUCUAAUCUGGCAGUGUAAGGAGACAUAAGAGGUGUAGAAUAAGUGGGAGAUAUUAGACUUCGGUUUGGUAUCGACAAUGAAAUACCACUACUCUUAUUGUUUCCUUACUUACUUGAUUAAAUGGAACGUGUAUCAUUUCCUACCCAUUAUACGGAUAUAAUUAUUAUGUCUUAUGGUAUUGGGUUUUGAUGCAAGCUUCUUGAUCAAAGAAUCACGAGUUUGUUAUAUAAUCGCAAACAAAUUCUUUAAUGAGAGAAUGCAUUUAUGUAUUAUUGAUUUAAAAAUUUGGUAUAACUCUAAUUACUCAGGUAUGAUCCAAUUCAAGGACAUUGCCAGGUAGGGAGUAUGACUGGGGCGGUACAUCUCUCAAAUAAUAACGGAGGUGUCCCAAGGCCAGCUCAGUGCGGACAGAAACCACACAUAGAGCAAAAGGGCAAAUGCUGACUUGAUCUCGGUGUUCAGUACACACAGGGACAGCAGAAGCUCGGCCUAUCGAUCCUUUUGGCUUAAAGAGUUUUUACCAAGAGGUGUCAGAAAAGUUACCAUAGGGAUAACUGGCUUGUGGCGGCCAAGCGUUCAUAGCGACGUCGCUUUUUGAUCCUUCGAUGUCGGCUCUUCCUAUCAUUGUGAAGCAAAAUUCACCAAGCGUUGGAUUGUUCACCCAUGCAAGGGAACGUGAGCUGGGUUUAGACCGUCGUGAGACAGGUUAGUUUUACAGCAUUCCCGCGUAGUACGAGAGGAACCGCAGGUGCGGACCAAUGGCACAAUACUUGUUCGAGCGAACAGUGGUAUGACGCUACGUCCGUUGGAUUAUGCCUGAACGCCUCUAAGGUCGCAUCCGUGCUGGACUGCAAUGAUAAAUAAGGAGCAAUUUGCAUUGUAUGGCUUCUUAACCAUUAAAAGUUUUUAAUUUGUUUUAUUAACGACAAUGGAUGUGAUGCCAAUGUUAUUUAUAACAUAGUAUAUUAGGAGGAUCUUCGAUCACCUGAUGCCGCGCUAGUUAUAUUUUAAAACAUUAUUU